rnacentral:rRNA from 1 species
CCUACGGGAGGCAGCAGUGGGGGAUAUUGCACAAUGGGGGAAACCCUGAUGCAGCAACGCCGCGUGAGUGAAGAAGUAUUUCGGUACGUAAAGCUCUAUCAGCAGGGAAGAAACUGACGGUACCUGACUAAGAAGCCCCGGCUAACUACGUGCCAGCAGCCGCGGUAAUACGUAGGGGGCAAGCGUUAUCCGGAUUUACUGGGUGUAAAGGGAGCGUAGACGGCAGCGCAAGUCUGGAGUGAAAUCCCAUGGCUUAACCAUGGAACUGCUUUGGAAACUGUGCAGCUAGAGUGCAGGAGAGGUAAGCGGAAUUCCUAGUGUAGCGGUGAAAUGCGUAGAUAUUAGGAGGAACACCAGUGGCGAAGGCGGCUUACUGGACUGUAACUGACGUUGAGGCUCGAAAGCGUGGGGAGCAAACAGGAUUAGAUACCCGGGUAGUC